CCUACGGGUGGCAGCAGUGAGGAAUAUUGGUCAAUGGGCGCGAGCCUGAACCAGCCAAGUAGCGUGAAGGAUGACUGCCCUACGGGUUGUAAACUUCUUUUAUAAAGGAAUAAAGUGAGGCACGUGUGCCUUUUUGUAUGUACUUUAUGAAUAAGGAUCGGCUAACUCCGUGCCAGCAGCCGCGGUAAUACGGAGGAUCCGAGCGUUAUCCGGAUUUAUUGGGUUUAAAGGGAGCGUAGGUGGAUUGUUAAGUCAGUUGUGAAAGUUUGCGGCUCAACCGUAAAAUUGCAGUUGAAACUGGACGCCUUGAGUUCACAACAGGCAGGCGGAAUUCGUGGUGUAGCGGUGAAAUGCAUAGAUAUCACGAGGAACCCCGAUUGCGAAGGCAGCCUGCCGGGGUGCGACUGACGCUGAGGCUCGAAGGUGCGGGUAUCAAACAGGAUUAGAUACCCGUGUAGUC
rnacentral:rRNA from 1 species